GCACCGGUGGUGCAUGGUGCACGCUGCCCUAAAAUUUGAAGCGAGCAACUUGAUGUCAGGCAGAUCGGGGUUCGAUUCCCCGCCGGUGCA